rnacentral:rRNA from 1 species
AACGAACGCUGGCGGCAGGCUUAACACAUGCAAGUCGAGCGCCCCGCAAGGGGAGCGGCAGACGGGUGAGUAACGCGUGGGAACAUACCCUUUCCUGCGGAAUAGCUCCGGGAAACUGGAAUUAAUACCGCAUACGCCCUACGGGGGAAAGAUUUAUCGGGGAAGGAUUGGCCCGCGUUGGAUUAGCUAGUUGGUGGGGUAAAGGCCUACCAAGGCGACGAUCCAUAGCUGGUCUGAGAGGAUGAUCAGCCACAUUGGGACUGAGACACGGCCCAAACUCCUACGGGAGGCAGCAGUGGGGAAUAUUGGACAAUGGGCGCAAGCCUGAUCCAGCCAUGCCGCGUGAGUGAUGAAGGCCUUAGGGUUGUAAAGCUCUUUCACCGGAGAAGAUAAUGACGGUAUCCGGAGAAGAAGCCCCGGCUAACUUCGUGCCAGCCGCCGCCGUAAGAC